CCCCCCACCUCUGUUGCUGACUGGCCGCUGGGGGGGCAUGUGUCCUCCCCAGCCCCCCAGGCAGUUGGUUAAGAGGUGCCCGGUUCCCUCCCUUGUUGCCCUGACAUCUGCAGUGUGGUUGGGGUGAGACCUGCCCAGAGUCCCAAGUGGCUGAUGGGAGACAAAAGAGAGAAGGAGGCAGCUGGCAGGGGAGCCCUGGGUGUUUACUUUGCUGUCAGGUUACUCAGCCUUAGCAUGUCCAGUGUGCUAAGUGCUGUGGGCUCUUGAAGUGCCUGGCUUUCCACUUGCUUGCAGUUA